rnacentral:snRNA from 1 species
AAGCUUAGCUGGAGGGGAGAUACAUGAUCACUGGUUUUCCCAGGGUAAGGCUUCUCCAUUGCACUUUGGAUAAGCUGACCUCCAAAGUUUCCCUAACAGCAGGAAACUUGGCUGCAUAAUUUGUAGUAGCAGAGGACUGUUCACAACCUCCCUCGU